rnacentral:rRNA from 1 species
AGCCAGACUCCUACGGGAGGCAGCAGUGGGGAAUAUUGCACAAUGGGGGAAACCCUGAUGCAGCGACGCCGCGUGAGCGAAGAAGUAUCUCGGUAUGUAAAGCUCUAUCAGCAGGGAAGAUAAUGACGGUACCUGACUAAGAAGCCCCGGCUAACUACGUGCCAGCAGCCGCGGUAAUACGUAGGGGGCAAGCGUUAUCCGGAUUUACUGGGUGUAAAGGGUGCGUAGGUGGCAUGGCAAGUCAGAAGUGAAAGCCCGGGGCUCAACCCCGCGGACUGCUUUUGAAACUGUCAGGCUGGAGUACAGGAGAGGUAAGCGGAAUUCCUAGUGUAGCGGUGAAAUGCGUAGAUAUUAGGAGGAACACCAGUGGCGAAGGCGGCUUACUGGACUGUAACUGACGUUGAGGCUCGAAAGCGUGGGGAGCAAACAGGAUUAGAUACCCGGGUAU